CUUGGGGCCUCAGAAGAUCCUGGAGCAAAGAAGCCUGGCGGAUCGGGAAAGGCGGGGAGUGGUGAACCUAUUAGCGGCUCCGGCCCGCAGGCGAGAAAAAGUCCCUGAGGCGAGGCGGCGGAAAGGUACUACGGAAGAGGCAAGAAAAAGAACUGACUGGCCCAACCAGGACAAUGAGACUCCUCUCUCUUCUGCAAGCCUGGUCUUUGGGCCCCCCCCCAGCCGCCAUCAUUGCCACUGUCACUGCCGCCGCUGCCGCUGCCACCACCACCACCACCACCACCACCACUAACUGCCACCCUCCUCUGCCAAGGGCCUAGACCCCCACUCUCUACUCCCUGCAGGCAACUGGCCAGCCAGACCUGGGGCAGCUCUUUCUGCUCAGCCAGGCCUGGCCCAGCCUUGUCCAGUCCAGCUGUUCCUCCCCCAAACACACAGGUACUCCCAAGAGCCCACUCUGGGGAUUGGGGAAGAGUCUCUGAGAGGCCCUGUCUAGCAUUUGGGGGAGGGGACCUCCAGUUCCAUCCCCCCCACCCUAAAGUGCCCUGGCUCAUGGGGAGGGGCUAAAGAAGACAUAGACAGUGGGGUUCACUUUCUCUUCCUGACUGGCACAAAUCAGGGUUUCUACUCUGGGCAGCAUGGAGUAAACUGGUGGAGGAGGAAAUUCCCCUGAGCUCUGAGGUCAGAGGUGGGGGAUAGGGAAGAAAGGGGCGACUAUUGGGACAGAAGAGGACAGGGACCAAGAGCAAGGAGACCCAAGUACAAAUACCAGGAGGUCAGCCUGGCUCCAACCCUGCAGUCCUUACCUCUUGCCAAGAGUGUGUGUGUGUGGGAAGCUUCAUGCACUUGGUCCCUUCAGAAGAAGAAGGGGAGGGGUCCCAAGCCCUGAACUUCCAUGAUGAGAGCCCCCCCCCCCCCCCCCCCCCCCCGCCAUGUGUGCCUCUCAUGGUCCUUGGAGGUGGCUAGUCUUGCUGGGGGCUUCCAAAGAAGCCUCAGACAGCCCUCAUUGGCAAAGCCUAGACUGUGUUCCCUUAAAAGCUCUCCUCCAGGGCCCAUCUCUCCCAGAACUCCUCAGAUGUUUCAGGGACAGCGGCGUUGGGCGUUGAAGACUGCUCCUUCACCUCUAGCCCCCACAUCUCUUGCUCAGUUACUGGAAGGAGAAGCUGAGACAUAGACUAGAAAUCUGAAUGGAGCCUUGGAUACUGUCAAACUGAUCCCGUCAUCUCAUGGAGGGGAGGGAAUGGGAGGGUCCCCCGGCCCCCCCCAAGACCAGGGUGAGGAGCAGUCAGUGGCCCCAUCAUCUCACAUUGUCUGUACACAGAUGUAUUUUUGAAGAAGGGCAGCCAGAAAGUGUCCUAGGAAGAUCCAAGGAAGAACUCCCCCAACCCUGCCACUUGGACAUCACCAGAAUCACUGCCCUGGAAAACUGGAGCGGAAAGAGAGAAUGGGAAAGAAGGACAGACAAAAGGAGCAGAGACAGAGGGGCUCAUCUCUCUCCGUGGUUCCUCCCCAGAAGGGGACAAUAGGGUUGGACAGGCACGGGCGGGCAGGCACUCGGCCCCAUGCAGACGGGGUGGGGGGGGUCGGUCAGGCCACCCCACUUACUUCGAUGGUGCUGUCCAGUGAUCCCACGCUGUUACGUCGCCCCCGCUUCCCUGUGCCCGCAAGCAACGAGGGUCAAGGUAGGGCUUCGCACAACUCAAACCUAGGGCCACCACCCUGAAGGACCUUCUCCCAGGAAGAAGAUAAGCCCCUCCUCCGCUGGGGGGUCCCUCCCUUCUUCUCUCCCUCCCUUCUACGAGGCAGAUGGAGACAGCAGAGGAAAAAGAGGGAGGGAGACUGGGGGGAGAGAAACAGAGGGAGAUCAAGGAGGGAGGAAGAGAGAGAGGGAGGAGAGGAGAGAGAGAGAGGAGAGGAAGAGACCGAGAGGAAAAGAGAGAGAAGGGGAGAGGGAGAGGGUAGGAGAGAGAGCUUGGCCCCUUCUGCUGGUUCUCCUUCCCAUUGCAACCCUAUGUCCUGAGACUGAGGGGUCUCCCUCACUACCUGUGCUGCUCUGGCUCCUAAGCUCAUUUCUGUCAGAGCCUCUGUGGACCCAGCUUUGGCCCUGGCCUCUAUAGGAUGGGUCCCUGGGCCCUAGGGCCCAGGCCACUGUCCAAGGAGCUUGUAUGGCAGAGUAGGUCAGGAUGAUAGAUGGCCCAGAGAAGGAAGGGACUUUCCCUCCCUGUUCACCAGCUGCCCCCUUCCCUGCUGACACCACAUCCCAGGGGGGCAGUCCUGACCUGCAUCCGAGAGGUCUCGGAGGGAGCUGCUAAGGGCACUCCGCUUCAGACCAUCGCCAAGGCCAUAUGUGUCCUCUAGGCUGGACCGAGGCAGUGUGCCAUUGACUGCAUCCUUGGAGCCAGUGGGCUGGGAGGUGUUGGGGCGCAUCACCCCCUUCUGUUUCUCGAGCUCCGCUGUGUGUAUGGAGGAGAAGAUUAGGCCCGUUCAUUAGGAUCUCUUGACUUGACCUUCUUCCUCUAGUGCACCUUGGCUAGGCCCCUUCUCAGGUCCCCUUUGGCUGCCCUCCUCAGGACACCCUCAACCCUCACCUCUGCCUCUUCCUCAUUAACCCCUGAAUGCUCAAGUUUUCCCUCCCUGAGGUAGGCCUCCAAGCUGAAGUGUCCCAACAGAAGUUCCCCAACGACGGGGGCUGAUCUCACCAAGCAGCUGAGGGAGACCUGGUUCUGAAUCUCUUCCACUUGUAGAACCCCAGAAUUCUAAACUUCUAGCUCCUCAGACUUGGGGACCCAGGCCCAAUAGGGUUCUAGGCUUUCUCUUGACUUCUUAGAAUCGUGGAUUCUUUCUCACAACCCCUAGAUGCUUUAGGCUGCUAGAUCCCGGAAGCUGAAGACUCUGAAACUUGGAAGAAGUCAUCUUUGACUUGCGCACACUCUGGAGUUCUUUUCCCUCCGUUUCAGGGUUCCAAACCUGGCUGUGCCAUACCACACGAGUCACUUCCUUCUCUCCACCUAGGUUUCCUGCUCUGUAAAAUUGUAAUCAUACAACUUGGAGCCCUGACCUUUCCGGCCUGCUGUAGGGGAAGAGCUUUCUAAGCCUGCAAACAUUCUGAGACUUGUUUGCCAAGGCAAUGGACUACAUGUCUUACUGAAGUUUAGAGAUGUUUGCCUAAAGGUGGACUUUUUCAGCCCCAAGUUUCUGCUGCCCUAGUUAGAGGACCUAAAAUCCGCACUCGGGCCACCCUCUGAGGAACAGAGAAGUGACAUGGUGUGAUCUCAUUCCCCUCUGGCAGACCCAGAGCAACAGCAAUUCCUGUUGCUCCAGGAAAGCAGAUACGCAAGCAAUCUGAUGUCUCAGAUUUAAAGCCGCUCAAGCUCUUGAGUCCUUUUCUCCUUGGGCAUCUUUGCUUCCUCAAAACCCCCAGGAGGAGGAAGAGAGACCUUCAAACUCAUCUCGCGUCCCCUGUUUAGGAAACCCUUUUUUCAACUGUCUGAAGGCCCGGAAGAGGAAACUCCCUCAAGGGCUGUGUGUAAACUGGAGGGUCAGACUUGGGGGAGCCACUCACAUUCCACACGGUACUUCUCCAUCUCUUGCACUUCAGCUAUGGAUUCUCGGAGGUCAGAUGUGAACCGAAGCCGGUCUUGGAGACUGGGUGCAUUGAAGAUGAUGAGCACCUUUCGCUCCCCACCUGGCACGGCAGACAGCAGUUUGAUGCCAAAUUGGUAAUCUAUUAGGUGCCAGGGAGAAGAAAAGACACGGGCAACAUCAGGGCACAGAGAGCCUCCAAGCUCGUACUUUCCAACCCAGGUUGAAAUCUCUCUGAAUGCUUGCGAUCCAGGGAAGAAUCUCUAGCAAGAACUGAGCCUGCACUCCCUUCCCUUGCCCUGUAACAAGGCAGAGACUGUCCGGCCCAGAUGGCAAGUUUGUGUGGAGUUUCAGUGUAUUCUUUGUCUCUCUCCUCACAAGGCUAAGAUGUGCUCUCUCCCCUUAUAGAGGUCAUGGUUUAGGACAGGGGCUCCUCCCUUCCUUCUGAAAAGGGACAUACAGAGGUAUGUCUGUGGUUCUGGGGCUAUGCCCCCCAGACAGGCUCCCAAACCCCGGUGACCCACGUUCCUUGGGCAGGGAGGCUAGAGGAGUGGUCUGAAGUAUCUGGUGCCAGGCCUUAAGCCUAGGUGAUUCCGCCCUCAGUGCCCCAACCUCCUCCUUUGUACAAGGCCUUCCCUUCCCAGCUCACGAUCCCUUGAGCGCCUGCUGGCAGGUCAUGUCCUCCUUAUCCCCCUCCUGCCAGGAAGGUCCUUGGAUGUGGGCCAUAGGAUCACAGGGCACUCACACGAAUUCUGGAAGAGCUGGAGGUGCAUUUCGACAAGGGGAAAGGACUGGCGGAAACUGUAGGUCACCAGGAUCUUUUUCUUCUGGAAAAUCUUGGUGACCUGCGGGGUAGAAUGAAUGGAGAAAUACAUGUGGUAGGGAGUGAGCAAGCCAAGUCCAAGAAAGGCCCACUGAAGGAGCUCUGAGCCUGCAAAGGUGAAUCUGUCAGAGGAGCUGCAGGCCCCUGGGUGUGCCAUUCCACUAUGCUGGCUUCAGGUAGGGCAGAUGAUUCCCAGCAGCCUUGUUUGUGGGAGCCCACAUCGGACUUGGUUGUGGGAUGGCACUGCCCAGCUUGGAAUGUUGGUAGAGCGCAAGAACAAGCUAGGCGUCAGCUCACCACCAUCCCAAGGCUGCUCCACUUGGACUAAUUACACUGAACAGGUACUGGGGUCCCACUCCCCUGACCCACCAGGGGUCUUCUGUGCUUCCCACUUGGUAGAAAGGCGGGGGACUCCAGGUAUCUUAGGGUGCAGGCGCUGCUUCUGAACGUGGUCCUUUCACUGUUGGUUGGCUUUGUUCGGGGGACUGUUUGGUGAGUUGCCAAGGGUUUGUCAGGAACUGCUUCAAUUGACCCCAAGCUGUGACUGAACUGGAGUGGAAGGUGCUGCUGGGAUGCAAACACUGCCUUCCUUCUCCAGCUCAGGCCCACAACUCCACUGUUAACUGCUUAUUGACCUUACCUGCCUUGCCCUACCGGAUUUAGAACUUUCCAUCGUGGCCUGGAACAUGAAGGUCACACAGCUACUAUGUGAUGGAGGAGAGAACUGAACUCGGGAGGUCUUCUUGACUCCAAAGCCAGCCAGUCUCCACCCAUCACACCAAGGAGUUCUUGGUCUUUGGUGAGAGGAUUUGGUUUUUCUUGCUAAAUGGAUUGCUCAAGGGGUCCAUGACAAAAAAGGCCAAGGGGCCCUGCAUUCAUUAUGUCUUGCUGCCUCUCACCGAGGCAGUGGAGAAUAAACCCCCAAAAGACAGCA